CGGACGGGUGAGUAAUGUCUGGGAAACUGCCUGAUGGAGGGGGAUAACUACUGGAAACGGUAGCUAAUACCGCAUAACGUCGCAAGACCAAAGAGGGGGACCUUAGGGCCUCUUGCCAUCGGAUGUGCCCAGAUGGGAUUAGCUAGUAGGUGGGGUAACGGCUCACCUAGGCGACGAUCCCUGGCUGGUCUGAGAGGAUGACCAGCCACACUGGAACUGAGACACGGUCCAG
rnacentral:rRNA from 1 species